UUUGAUCUCAAAUCAGGUAGGACUACCCGCUGAACUUAAGCAUAUCAAUAAGCGGAGGAAAAGAAACUAACAAGGAUUCCCCUAGUAACUGCGAGUGAAGCGGGAAGAGCUCAAAUUUAAAAUCUGACGUGCCUCUGGUCGUCCGAGUUGUAGUCUGGAGAAGCGUUUUCCGUGUUGGACCGUGUAUAAGUCUCUUGGAACAGGGCGUCAUAGAGGGUGAGAAUCCCGUCUUUGACACGGACUACCAAUGCUUUGUGAUGCGCUCUCAAAGAGUCGAGUUGUUUGGGAAUGCAGCUCAAAAUGGGUGGUAAAUUCCAUCUAAAGCUAAAUAUAGGCGAGAGACCGAUAGCGAACAAGUACCGUGAGGGAAAGAUGAAAAGCACUUUGGAAAGAGAGUUAAACAGUACGUGAAAUUGCUGAAAGGGAA
rnacentral:rRNA from 1 species